rnacentral:rRNA from 1 species
GGAACGGACGCUAAUACCGCAUACGUCCUACGGGAGAAAGCAGGGGACCUUCGGGCCUUGCGCUAUCAGAUGAGCCUAGGUCGGAUUAGCUAGUUGGUGAGGUAAUGGCUCACCAAGGCUACGAUCCGUAACUGGUCUGAGAGGAUGAUCAGUCACACUGGAACUGAGACACGGUCCAGACUCCUACGGGAGGCAGCAGUGGGGAAUAUUGGACAAUGGGCGAAAGCCUGAUCCAGCCAUGCCGCGUGUGUGAAGAAGGUCUUCGGAUUGUAAAGCACUUUAAGUUGGGAGGAAGGGCAUUAACCUAAUACGUUAGUGUUUUGACGUUACCGACAGAAGAAGCACCGGCUAACUCCGUGCCAGCAGCCGCGGUAAUACGGAGGGUGCGAGCGUUAAUCGGAAUUACUGGGCGUAAAGCGUACGCAGGCGGUUUGUUAAGCGAGAUGUGAAAGCCCCGGGCUCAACCUGGGAACUGCAUUUCGAACUGGCAAACUAGAGUGUGAUAGAGGGUGGUAGAAUUUCAGGUGUAGCGGUGAAAUGCGUAGAGAUCUGAAGNGAANUACNCGNNAUGGNCGAAGGCAGCCACCUGGGUCANCACUGACGCUCAUGUACGAAAGCGUGGGGAGCAAACGGGUAUUAGAUACCCCGGUAGUCCACGCCGUAAACGAUGUCUACUAGAAGCUCGGAGCCUCGGUUCUGUUUUUCAAAGCUAACGCAUUAAGUAGACCGCCUGGGGAGUACGGCCGCAAGGUUAAAACUCAAANUGAAUUGACGGGGGCCCGCNACAAGCGGUGGAGCAUGUNGGUUUAANUUCGAUGCAACGCGAAGAANCCUUACCUNACACUUGACAUACAGNANGANCUUACCAGANGAUGGNUUUGGNUGCCUUNCGGGAANCCUCUGANUANCAGGUGCUGNCAUGGCUNGUCGUCAGCUCNGNUGUUGUGAGANUGNUUGGGUUNAANUCCCGCAAACGAGNNCGCAACCCCNUAUCCUUAGUUGCNUAGNCAGGUNAAUGCNUGNAGAANCUCUNAAGGAGANCUGCCGGUGAUAAACCGGAGGAAGGUGGGGACGACGUCAAGUCAUCAUGGCCCUUACGUGUAGGGCUACACACGUGCUACAAUGGCGCAUACAGAGUGCUGCGAACUCGCGAGAGUAAGCGAAUC